rnacentral:rRNA from 1 species
UGGGGAAUAUUGCACAAUGGGCGCAAGCCUGAUGCAGCCAUGCCGCGUGUAUGAAGAAGGCCUUCGGGUUGUAAAGUACUUUCAGCGGGGAGGAAGGGAGUAAAGUUAAUACCUUUGCUCAUUGACGUUACCCGCAGAAGAAGCACCGGCUAACUCCGUGCCAGCAGCCGCGGUAAUACGGAGGGUGCAAGCGUUAAUCGGAAUUACUGGGCGUAAAGCGCACGCAGGCGGUUUGUUAAGUCAGAUGUGAAAUCCCCGGGCUCAACCUGGGAACUGCAGCUGAUACUGGCAAGCUUGAGUCUCGUAGAGGGGGGUAGAAUUCCAGGUGUAGCGGUGAAAAGCGUAGAGAUCUGGAGGAAUACCGGUGGCGAAGGCGGCCCCCUGGACGAAGACUGAAGCUCAGGUGCGAAAGCGUGGGGAGCAAACAGG